rnacentral:rRNA from 1 species
UACGGGGGGGGCAAGCGUUGUUCGGAAUUACUGGGCGUAAAGGGCUCGUAGGCGGCCAACUAAGUCGGAUGUGAAAUUCCUGGGCUUAACCUAGGGGCUGCAUACGAUACGUAUGGGCUUGAGUCCGGAAGAGGAGAGUGGAAUUCCUGGUGUAGCGGUGAAAUGCGCAGAUAUCAGGAAGAACACCCGUGGCGAAGGCGGCUCUCUGGGACGGUACUGACGCUGAGACGCGAAAGCGUGGGGAGCGAACGGG